rnacentral:rRNA from 1 species
UACGUAGGGCGCAAGCGUUGUCCGGAAUUAUUGGGCGUAAAGAGCUCGUAGGCGGCCAGUUGCGUCCGCUGUGAAAUCCCGGGGCUUAACCCCGGGCGUGCAGUGGAUACGGGCUGGCUAGAGGCAGGCAGGGGAGAACGGAAUUCCUGGUGUAGCGGUGAAAUGCGCAGAUAUCAGGAGGAACACCGGUGGCGAAGGCGGGUCUCUGGGCCGUAACUGACGCUGAGGAGCGAAAGCGUGGGGAGCGAACAGG